UGUGGUUCGGUCAGACCAAUCUGUGUGUGACUGCCUGCAGCCCAGGUAGUGAUGAUUGUCUUUAUGAUCAAUGGCAGUCUGUGAUUCGGUCAGACCAAUCUGUGUGUGACUGCCUGCAGCCCAGGUAGUGAUGAUUGUCUUUAUGAUCAAUGGCAGUCUGUGGUUCGGUCAGACCAAUCUGUGUAUGACUGCCUUAACCCCCUAUUAGUGAUGAUUGUCUUUAGCCUAGAGAAUCUGUAGUACAUGUUGUGCCAAGUGGUUGUAGUACACAUACCUGUUAAGUGCCUAUAAUCAUCACAUUUUAAUUUUUAUAUGGCUUUCAUCUACUUAAGGUACUAUUUGUUGUGAAGUCUGCUGUAAAUGUUAUGAGCUGUCCAUACAUGUGUGUGUAUAAUCAUGUCCAGAUUCCAAUGAUUUGUAGAUGUUGCUCAAUAUGACCUCACAUGUUGAAAGUGGUAAAUAUACUUUAUGCUCUUAUCA